CCCGGAAAACACUAGGGAUCAGUAAUCACCUGCACUCCAAGAUCCGCAGCGUGGCCAGACAGCCUCCUCAGCCAAAAAAAUCAUAAAAAAGAAACCCUUCGAACCAAAAAGGAGGAUCAUCUUAGAACAGUGCCCUAGAUUCUAGAUUGUUGAGGCAGGAGUGCCAGAAAACUCGAAUUACUUCUUGAGUCGUCCUGGUUUUGAUGUGGGUUACUGAUGUCUGGAUAACUUUAACCCAGUUAAGCCCAGUGAAAUUCAACACUCCAUUUAGUAAAUGGCAUCAUAAAUAAUGUGGCAAUAAAGUAAGUGUAGAAAUAGGAUUAUUACUGUGUUUUCACAAAUUUAUCCAUUUGCAUUAUUAUUCCCAGGGUUGCUUCCCAGUGUCGAUUCUCCACCUGAGAAAUGUCUACCAGGCCUGUGAUUUCAGUCAUCACGUAAAACCGAUAGUUCUCCUGAACAGCUGGGAAGACAGUAUAGCACAGUGGUUAAAAGCAAAGGCGUUCGAAUUAGAUAACCAGGCCAGGUUAUCCACUUACUAAGUAGGAGACCAUGGACAUGUUACUUACCCAAUGAGUCAGUUUAUUCUUUUGUUCAACAGGAGAUAACAUGUGAUAACAUGUAUUUAAAUGUGAUAGUAUGUAUAAAGCCCUUUAAGUAGGACCUGGCAUGCGCUAAAUCUCCCAUGGAAAGAGAUCAGCUACCUGCUACAUUUUCCUCCUGGAACUCUUUCCGAUGCUCCUUCCCUCUUUUCACAUCUGCCAAUUCCCUCAAACUUAACGUGGUGCAUCCUCCCUAAAUCUGCAUCAGUCCUUGAUUAAUGACUUCUAGCUCAAGCCUAGCAUUCAAAUACUUGUUGAAUGAAAGAGUACAUGCCCUUCACACCAGCGGUAUCAAAGGACAAGCCUCCCACAUCUGUGCCUUUCCUGGGCUACUCACUCUCCCUGCAUUCCAUCCUCCUUUCACCCAAUGAGCAAGUCGUCCUUCAGAUCAUUCCGAAAUCACCUCCUUGAAAGCAUUCUCUACCUCCUCUGAGCAGUAUACCUCAGCUCCUUGAAGACAAGAACAAAGAUUUCCCCCAUCUUUUCCUCUCCAGCAUCUAGCACAGUGCCUGUGGUGAUCAACAAAUGCUGGCUGAAUGAAUGGAUUAGUGAAUUUGACAAACAUUACUGAGUACCUACUAUAUACCAAGUACUAGUCACAGCCCAGGGAUAUAUAGCAAUGAAAAUAAUCGGCAAAGUCUUCGUCCCCAUGAAACUUACAGAGAAAUGAGUGAAUAGACAAAUGUGUGAUAAAAAACACUUCCCAGUCCUUUACCUAUAUUAGAAUACCAUUCUGGAAAUUUCCAGUGUAUCUGCCUGCUCACUAAUAUAUCAGUUGCUUGGGACUCAAUUUUUUUUUCAUAAUAAUGAGGUCAAAAUAGUUACUAGAGUAUCAGCUACCUAAACACUGUACUAAAAAGCAGUAGAAGUAAAUUACAUUGCAAAUAUAAUCAUUAAGAGUAAGGAAACAAAAUUUUAUUUAAUAAAGUGUACAGAGGUUCUUUUAAGUCUUAUCAAACAUAUUGCUCAAUAAAUAUUUUGAAUAAUCCAUUAAGUAUUGAUUUUUUAACCAAUUUAGAUACAACAGCUGGUUCUCUAAUGCCAUCUUUACCAAAUUUAUCAUUGCAAUAUUAGAAGCUGGAGGCAAAAGAGGAAUCAACUCCUCCUAUCCCCCAAAAAAGAAAUGGUUAUGCAAUUCCUGAUGAGUAUAAGUUUCUUGAAAAUGGUUAACAUUUUUUGCUAUGUAAUAGAGGAUAAGAUGAUGUGGGCAAAAUUUUGAUAUUUAUAUACCUUACAUGUAUUAAUAACAAAUGGCAGCGUCCCUCAUCUGUUCGUUUUACUUCCAGGGAAAGCUGAAGAGACUUACAGCAGAUUUUAAUGAAUCUAUGUCCCACAUUAGAUCCUGAAUCCUCAAUGACCGAAUUUGAGAAAGCAAGUAUCAUCGCUUUCUCUACCAUAUACCUGAAUACAACUAUAACUGGCCGUUCAUUUCGUAUGGCAAAAAACAUUUACCACAAAAUCAUUGAUAUUGGAGAAAAGUUGCACUAUGAAACAGGUGCCGAAUUUAACACAAAAAUUAAAUGCACUAAGUGUUCGCAUUUCUUCCAGUCAGUGACGUUAUCGAUGGCUUUAUUGAGCUCAGGGGACAAUGAUUUGCCCCAAGAGUUGACUUUUUAUUUUGAAACACACUACAUUGGAGAAGAAAGAGGCCGAGGGCCCCAAAGGUGCAGAGUUGAACCCACAUUUCUCUCAGAACUUUGGAACAUCUGUCAACGGACAUGUGACAACACACCAAGAACACACAACAGUGUAGAAGACUUUCACAACACAAAUAUGCACUGACAAACAUGCAUCCUAUGACUUCCCUGGUGGCGCAGUGGUUAAGAAUCCGCUUGUCAGAGCAGGGGACACGGGUUCAAGCCCUGGUCUGGGAAGAUCCCACAUGCCGCAGAGCAACUAAGCCCGCACGUGCUGCAAACACUGAAGUCCGUGCGCCUAGAGCCCGUGCUCUGCAGCAAGAGAAGCCACCACAGAUGAGAAGCCCGCGCGCAGCAAUGAAGACCCAACGCAGCCUAAAUAAAUAAAUAAAUAUUAAAAGAAAUCUAAUGUAAUCUUGGCAUGCAUUAAUAAAAGUUGAUUUAAAAAAAAACAAAUAUGCAUCCUAGUAUUUGGAAACUGAUACCUCUCAAUAAAGGAAGAAAUAUUAGCAAAAAGGAAGAUGCAAUGCUGAACAAGGAGACAAAUCAAGAAGAAAAAAAUAGUAUAAGAUACUCUGAACAAAACACUUGGAAGGCAAGUGCUUAGGUACAACCUAGAAAAUAAAAUCAGUUAUUUGUGAAGUA